rnacentral:miRNA from 1 species
UCUGCGACUGCAUCUCCACUC